GAAACUCGAGCUAAUACCGCAUACGCCCUACGGGGGAAAGCGGGGGAUCUUCGGACCUCGCGCUAUUGGAUGAGCCUAAGUCGGAUUAGCUUGUUGGUGGGGUAAAGGCCUACCAAGGCAACGAUCCGUAGCUGGUCUGAGAGGACGAUCAGCCACACUGGGACUGAGACACGGCCCAGACUCCUACGGGAGGCAGCAGUGGGGAAUAUUGGACAAUGGGGGCAACCCUGAUCCAGCAAUGCCGCGUGUGUGAAGAAGGCCUGCGGGUUGUAAAGCACUUUCAGUAGAGAAGAAAAGCUUAGGGGUAAUACCUCUGAGUCUUGACGUAACCUACAGAAGAAGCACCGGCUAACUCCGUGCCAGCAGCCGCGGUAAUACGGAGGGUGCGAGCGUUAAUCGGAAUUACUGGGCGUAAAGCGCGCGUAGGCGGUUUGGUCAGUCGGGUGUGAAAUCCCUGGGCUCAACCUGGGAAUUGCAUUCGAAACUGGCAAGCUAGAGUAUGGUAGAGGCAAGUGGAAUUCCAGGUGUAGCGGUGAGAUGCGUAGAGAUCUGGAGGAACAUCAGUGGCGAA
rnacentral:rRNA from 1 species